UUGUAAUUGGAAUGAUGGGAAUUUAAACCUCUUCCAGAGUAUCUCUCUGGAGGGCAAGUCAGGAGCCAGCAGCCGCGGUAAUUCCAGCUCUAUUAGCGUAUAUUAAAAUUGUUGCAGUUAAAAAGCUCGUAGUUGAAUUUCUGCUGUAUUGCAUUUUCUCUUUUUAUAUGAGUUUUUGCAUUAUGGCUUAUUUCAGUAUUAAUUUUUUAUUAUUACUGAAUGUUUACUUUGAGAAAAUUAGAGUGCUCAAAGCAGGCUUUUGCCUUGAAUAGUUUAGCAUGGAAUAAUAAAGUAGGACUUUGGUUCUAUUUUGUUGGUUUUAGGUACCAAAGUAAUGGUUAAUAGGAACAGUUGGGGGCAUUCGUAUUUAACUGUCAGAAGGUGAAAUUCUUAGAA
rnacentral:rRNA from 1 species